CGGUUGAUCCUGCCGGAGGUCAUUGCUAUCAGGAUUCGACUAAGCCAUGCAAGCCGAUCGUCGGCAACGACGAGGCGAACUGCUCCGUAAUACACAGUCAACCUAACCUUAAGUGUGGGAUAAUCUCGAGAAAUUGAGGCUAAUACCACAUAGAAAUCAAUUUCUGGAAUGAAUUGAUUUCCAAAACUCAGGUGCUUAAGGAUGGGACUGUGGCCUAUUAUGGCUGUUGUUAGUGUAAAGAACUAACAAACCGAUAACAGGUAUGGGCUAUGAAAGUGGGAAGCCCAGAGAUGGUCUCUGAGACAUGAGACCAGGUACUACGGUACGCAGCAGGCGCGAAACCUUUGCAAUUUGCUCACGCAAGACAAGGGGAUCUUGAGUGUUUUUGCACUGCAAGAACUUUUGUUUUCUGAAAAAAGGAAAGUGAAUAAGGGCUGGGUAAGACGGGUGCCAGCCGCCGCGGUAAUACCCGCGGCCCGAGUGAUGGCCAUGAUUAUUGGGUCUAAAGCGUCCGUAGCCGGUUUGACAAGUCCCUAGUGAAAUCCUCUAGCAAACUAGAGGGCGUGCUGGGGAUACUGUCAAACUUGAGACCGGGAGAGGGUAGGAGAACUCCAUGAGUAGGGGUUAAAUCCUAUAAUCCAUGGGGGACUACCUGUGGCGAAGGCGCCUACCUAGAACGGAUCUGACGGUGAGGGACGAAAGCUAAGGGAGCAAUCGGGAUUAGAUACCCCGGUAGUCUUAGCUGUAAACAAUGCCCGCUUGAUGUUGCAGGCUUCUUGGGAGCUUGCAGUGUCGGAGCGUAGGUGUUAAGCGGGCCACCUGGGGAGUACGAUCGCAAGGUCGAAACUUAAAGGAAUUGGCGGGGGAGCAC
rnacentral:rRNA from 1 species